AUCCCAUGAUGAGGAACUUAUGCAGUAACUCCUUAAAUCGUUCCAAAGCCUCAGAAAAAGAUUCGUAAUCUAAUUGCUGGAAACUUAUGAUCUCGUUCCUCAACUU
rnacentral:snoRNA from 1 species